rnacentral:lncRNA from 1 species
AGAUGGCACGCAGUCUGCACAGACCAUGGAGUCCCUUGGCUCAGCCAAGGCCUGAGCAGCUCGGCCGUAACCCUGUGGUGGCUGAGCCCUGGUCACCCAGAGCUGGUGUCUCUGUGCCCAUCCAGAAGCCUCUUGCCCUCCUCAAUCCCAGCUCCAGACCUGGAUCAGACGCCUUACCUUCCUCUGGAAGGUCCCAUCCAGUGCAGCCACAAUUACGGUCUUCCCGGCGUUGGCCAUGGCCUCGCAGAACUCCACGAUGUCAGGGAACUGGAAAGGGCACGUGGAGAAAGAGUGUGAGAGCUUCCACCCCAGCAGCAGCUCCCUGGAGCCCCAGCGAAGACGCUGCCAGAUCUGACAACUCCGGCCAUUUGGCCCGGAGUAACUCUUAAUUCUCCCACGAGGCUCCCCAGGCCGGGGGACUGUGUCCACCCGCACGCCCCCCAGCAGACGACAGGUACAUCCACAACUGCGCAGCCCCUUCCCCCUGCAGCCAGCUUCCCUCCGAGUCCAGGUACCCAGGACUCAGCACCGGACUUCCACACCAGCUGUGCUGUUUAACACUGCAGUGGCCAAAGGCCUGCUGCCUUGGGCUCGGACACCACUCUUCGCUGGACCCAUUAUCUGUGUGACCUUGGCAAUGAAUUAACGUCUCUGAACCUGUUUCCUUUUCCUUAAGAGCAAGGAAGGUCCUGUUGUUUAAGGAUGGAAGGCCCUAAGUUAUAUACAUGCUCUUCGGUGAAUAGGUGUAACACCACCCUGUGCCGUGGACAUCGCAUCUUAGGAAUGAGGAAGCAAAUUUGGAAAAGUAAAUGACCUACAUCAGACAGCAUGGUCACGAAGUGCGGUUAAAUUCCCACAUGCAACUCCAAGCCCCAAGCACCCUCCACUCCACCAGCAUCUGGCUUCAGGAGCCCCUCAGCUCCCACCGAAGGCCACACGCCGGGUGGAUCUGUUCUCUGCACAGCCAUAGCAACUCUCGGAUACAGCUCCCAGCCAGGGCUCUGAGGCUGAAGCCCUAUAAUGUGUGGCACAGCAUGGCUUUGCCACUGGGUGCCCAGGUGGACAAGUCCAGAGGACCAAGCAAAGCGUCUCAGGCUCAGAAACAUCAGGCCCACAUCUGCUGCCAAGGAAGUGAAUUUAACUCCCAAACUGAGGUUGCAGGCGGAAAUGUCCAGCGAGCUCAAACAGCUACACAUAAAACAGGGAAGCGUGAAGGCUGCCAGGUGACGGGGGAGCCAGCCAACAACGGACAACUAAAAAAUUAAACAAAAAUCAACGUGCAGGCCAAACCAAACCAGUCUGCAGCCUGUGUGAAGCUGAAACCCUACGGCAGAGUUUCUGAACACUGGCAGGCUCCUGACAUUUGGGGCCAGCUCGUUCUUGCAUGGGGGCCGUCCUCUGCACCAUAGGACCCUUAGCAGCAGUGUCCCUGAUUUCUACACAUUAAAGCCCAAAAGCAUCCCCUCCCCCCUCCAGUUGCAACAACUAGAAAUGUCUUCAAACAUUGUCAAAUGGACCCUGGCGGCAAAAUCACCCUCAGUGGAGAACCACUGGCUCCAGCCCAGGGAGUGGAGAGUGUGCGCUACCUUGCCAAGCACCUUGGAAAGUGUGCUGAUUUGAAUCAUUCAAUGUUCAAAUGAUUAACCAUCCCCAUUAAAGAGAGUCCUAAC